rnacentral:misc_RNA from 1 species
GAUGAAGAACGUAGUGAAAUGCGAUAAUUAAUGUGAAUUGCAGAAUUCAGUGAAUCAUCGAGUCUUUGAACGCACAUUGCGCCCCCUGGUAUUCCGGGGGGCAUGCCUGUCCGAGCGUCAUUGCUGCCCUCAAGCACGGCUUGUGCGUUGGGCUUCCGUCCCUGGUAACGGGGACGGGCCCAAAAGGCAGUGGCGGCACCAUGUCUGGUCCUCGAGCGUAUGGGGCUUUGUCACCCGCUCCCGUAGGUCCAGCUGGCAGCUAGCCUCGCAACCAAUCUUUUUAACCAGGUUGACCUCGGAUCAGGUAGGGAUACCCGCUGAACUUAAGCAUAUCAAUAAGCGGAGGA